AUUGAACGCUGGCGGCAGGCCUAACACAUGCAAGUCGAACGAGUGGCGGACGGGUGAGUAACACGUGGGUGACCUGCCCUGCACUUCGGGAUAAGCCUGGGAAACUGGGUCUAAUACCGGAUAGUGUGGGAUGGGCCCGCGGCCUAUCAGCUUGUUGGUGGGGUAAUGGCUACCAAGGCGCGACGGGUAGCCGGCCUGAGAGGGUGGACGGCCACAGUGGGACUGAGACACGGUCCAGACUCCUACGGGAGGCAGCAGUGGGGAAUAUUGCACAAUGGGCGCAAGCCGGAUGCAGCCAUGCCGCGUGUAUGAAGAAGGCCUUCGGGUUGUAAAGUACUUUCAGCGAGGAGGCGUUACUCGCAGAAGAAGCACCGGCUAACUCCGUGCCAGCAGCCGCGGUAAUUC
rnacentral:rRNA from 1 species